CAGCCGCCGCGGUAAUACGAAGGGUGCAAGCGUUACUCGGAAUUACUGGGCGUAAAGCGUGCGUAGGCGGUUUGUUAAGUCUGCUGUGAAAUCCCCGGGCUCAACCUGGGAAUGGCAGUGGAUACUGGCAAGCUAGAGUGUGUCAGAGGAUGGUGGAAUUCCCGGUGUAGCGGUGAAAUGCGUAGAGAUCGGGAGGAACAUCAGUGGCGGAGGCGGCCAUCUGGGACAACACUGAUGCUGAGGCACGAAAGCGUGGGGAGCAAACAGGAUUAGAGACCCCCGUAGUCCCUGUCUCUUAUAA
rnacentral:rRNA from 1 species